rnacentral:rRNA from 1 species
AACGAACGCUGGCGGCGUGCCUAACACAUGCAAGUCGAACGGAAUGAGGGGGCUUGCUCCUUCAUUUAGUGGCGCACGGGUGAGUAACGCGUGGGUAACCUGCCCCUGAAUCUGGAAUAACUUCGCGAAAGCGAGGCUAAUACCGGAUAUUGUCCCAGGGACCGUGGUCCUUGUGAUGAAAGGUGACCUCUUCAAGAAAGUUGUCGUUCAGGGAGGGGCCCGCGUACCAUUAGCUAGUUGGUAGGGUAAUGGCCUACCAAGGCGAUGAUGGUUAGCUGGUCUGAGAGGAUGACCAGCCACACUGGCACUGAAACACGGGCCAGACUCCUACGGGUGGCAG